rnacentral:rRNA from 1 species
UACGGGGGGAGCAAGCGUUGUUCGGAUUUACUGGGCGUAAAGGGCGCGUAGGCGGCAAUUCAAGUCAUCUGUGAAAUCUCCGGGCUUAACUCGGAACGGUCAGAUGAUACUGCUUUGCUAGAGUGCGGAAGGGGCAAUCGGAAUUCCCGGUGUAGCGGUGAAAUGCGUAGAUAUCGAGAGGAACACCUGCGGUGUAGACGGCUUACUGGACCAUAACUGACGCUGAGGCACGAAAGCGUGGGUAGCAAACAGG